AGAGUUUGAUCCUGGCUCAGAGUGAACGCUGGCGGCGCGCUUAACACAUGCAAGUCGAACGCGAAAGUCACCUUCGGGUGGCGAGUAGAGUGGCGGACGGGUGAGUACAACGUGGGUAACCUGCCCCUGAAUUGGGAACAACCCUUCGAAAGGAGGGCUAAUACCGAAUAAUAUCCAGUUCACUCAAGUGAUUUGGAUCAAAGGAGGCCUCUGUUUCAUGCUUUCGUUUGGGGAGGGGCUCACGCCCCAUUAGCUAGUUGGUGAGGUAAUGGCUCACCAAGGCUGCGAUGGGUAGCCGACCUGAGAGGGUGAUCGGCCACACUGGGACUGAGACACGGCCCAGACUCCUACGGGAGGCAGCAGUGAGGAAUUUUCCGCAAUGGGCGAAAGCCUGACGGAGCGACGCCGCGUGCGUGAUGAAGGCCCUCGGGUCGUAAAGCGCUGUCGAAGGGGAAGAACUGUACUUUGGCUAAUACCCAUCGUAUUUGACGGUACCCUUCAAGGAAGCCCCGGCUAACUCCGUGCCAGCAGCCGCGGUAAUACGGGGGGGGCAAGCGUUGCUCGGAAUCAUUGGGCGUAAAGGGCUCGUAGGCGGCCCAUCAAGUUGGUUGUGAAAUCCCUCGGCUUAACCGAGGAACUGCGACCAAUACUAGUGGGCUUGAGUGCGGGAGAGGCGAGCGGAAUUCCAUGUGUAGCGGUGAAAUGCGUAGAUAUAUGGGGGAACACCGGUGGCGAAGGCGGCUCGCUGGACCGCAACUGACGCUGAGGAGCGAAAGCUAGGGGAGCAAACAGGAUUAGAUACCCUGGUAGUCCUAGCUGUAAACGAUGGGUACUUGGUGUGGUGGGUGUCGAUCCCUGCCGUGCCGAAGCUAACGCGUUAAGUACCCCGCCUGGGGAGUACGGUCGCAAGUCUGAAACUCAAAGGAAUUGACGGGGGCCCGCACAAGCGGUGGAGCAUGUGGUUUAAUUCGAUUCAACGCGAAGAACCUUACCUGGGUUUGAACUGCAGUGGACCGCCCUAGAGAUAGGGCUUCCCUUCGGGGCUGCUGCAGAGGUGCUGCAUGGCUGUCGUCAGCUCGUGUCGUGAGAUGUUGGGUUAAGUCCCGCAACGAGCGCAACCCUUGCCUGUAGUUACCAGCGAGUAAUGUCGGGGACUCUACGGGGACUGCCGGUGAUAAACCGGAGGAAGGUGGGGAUGACGUCAAGUCCUCAUGGCCUUUAUGUCCAGGGCUACACACGUGCUACAAUGGUCGGUACAAUGUGUUGCAAACUCGCGAGAGUGAGCUAAUCACAAAAAGCCGAUCUCAGUUCGGAUUGAAGUCUGCAACUCGACUUCAUGAAGUUGGAAUCGCUAGUAAUCGCGUAUCAGCAUGACGCGGUGAAUACGUUCCCGGGCCUUGUACACACCGCCCGUCACAUCACGAAAGCUGGCUGUACUAGAAGUCGCUGAGCUAACCCUUCGGGGAGGCAAGCGCCGACGGUAUGGUUGGUGAUUGGGGUGAAGUCGUAACAAGGUA
rnacentral:rRNA from 1 species